GAUCCAGACUCCUACGGGAGGCAGCAGUGGGGAAUAUUGCACAAUGGGGGAAACCCUGAUGCAGCGACGCCGCGUGAGCGAUGAAGUAUUUCGGUAUGUAAAGCUCUAUCAGCAGGGAAGAAGAUGACGGUACCUGACUAAGAAGCCCCGGCUAACUACGUGCCAGCAGCCGCGGUAAUACGUAGGGGGCAAGCGUUAUCCGGAUUUACUGGGUGUAAAGGGAGCGUAGACGGCGAUGCAAGCCAGAUGUGAAAGCCCGGGGCUCAACCCCGGGACUGCAUUUGGAACUGUGUGGCUGGAGUGUCGGAGAGGCAGGCGGAAUUCCUAGUGUAGCGGUGAAAUGCGUAGAUAUUAGGAGGAACACCAGUGGCGAAGGCGGCCUGCUGGACGAUGACUGACGUUGAGGCUCGAAAGCGUGGGGAGCGAACAGGAUUAGAUACCCGCGUACG
rnacentral:rRNA from 1 species